rnacentral:rRNA from 1 species
UGCCAGCCGCCGCGGUAAUACGAAGGGUGCUAGCGUUGUUCGGAAUUACUGGGCGUAAAGAGCAUGUAGGCGGAUGAAUUAGUCAUAGGUGAAAUCCCCGAGCUCAACUCGGGAACUGCCUGUGAGACCUCAGUACUAGAGUUCUGGAGAGGCUGGCGGAAUUCCAUGUGUAGCGGUGAAAUGCGUAGAUAUAUGGAGGAACACCGGUGGCGAAGGCGGCCAGCUGGCCAGAGACUGACGCUGAGACACGAAAGCGUGGGUAGCAAACAGGAUUAGAUA